rnacentral:rRNA from 1 species
AAACAGUACGUGAAAUUGUUGAAAGGGAAGCGUUCAUGACCAGACUUGGGCAGGUUGAUCAUCCGUGGUUCUCCGCGGUGCACUCUGCCUGCCCAGGCUAGCAUCAGUUCGCCCCGGGGGAUAAAGGCUUUGGGAAUGUGGCUCCCUCGGGAGUGUUAUAGCCCACUGCGUAAUACCCUGGGGUGGACUGAGGUUCGCGCUCUGCAAGGAUGCUGGCGUAAUGGUCAUCAACGACCCGUCUUGAAACACGG